GACAGAGGGGGCAAGCGUUGCUCGGAAUUACUGGGCGUAAAGGGCGCGUAGGCGGGAUGGCAAGUCGGUCGUGAAAUCCCUCGGCUCAACCGAGGAACGUCGAUCGAUACUGCUGUUCUUGAGGAUUGCAGAGGAGACUGGAAUUCCCGGUGUAGCGGUGAAAUGCGUAGAGAUUUGGAGGAACACCAGUGGCGAAGGCGACUUUCUGGUCUGUAACUGACACUGAGGCGCGAAAGCGUGGGGAGCAAACAGG
rnacentral:rRNA from 1 species